CGUUUAGGGGUAAACYUGAGAAACCCGAAAGGUCGAAGGGAGAAAUUCAUUCGCGUUUCGUCGUUGGCGUUUCGACGAGAUCGCGUGACGGAGGACGGCUCGUUUCGGCGCGUCGUCUUUCGCACCUUUCGUUAUUCGAUCCGACGACGAACGCGUGCACUUUUCUCCUGGUAGGACGUCGCGAUCCGUUGAGUGUCGGUCUAAGGCUUAUGCGGUGGAGACCUUGGACGUGCGCGGUUCAUCCCGCGUCCGUUCACGGACCCGUAAAGUUUUCCGGCCGACUCGCUCGACGGUACACGAACGGUUUAGGGCCGCUCUCUUAUCGAGCGUUCGACUCGCGGCAAGCGCGCCAGAUGAUUGUCGGUCGUCGGACCUAGUGCCGGCUCUGACCUCUGGUGACUGUUGGCUGCGAAGUUCUCGAACAGACCUUAAUUUUUAUGACCGAUCUGCGACGCUAUAGCUUUGGGUACUUUCAGGACCCGUCUUGAAACACGGACCAAGGAGUCUAGCAUGUGCGCGAGUCAUUGGGAAUUCAUUAAACCUAAAGGCGCAAUGAAAGUGAAAGUUCGUCUUGCACGAACCUAGGGAAGAUGAGCGGUUUACCGUUAAAAGUAGCCGUUCCGCAUUCCCGGGGCGUCUCGUUCUCAUUGCGAGAAGAGGCGCACCAAGAGCGUACACGCUGGGACCCGAAAGAUGGUGAACUAUGCCUGGUCAGGACGAAGUCAGGGGAAACCCUGAUGGAGGUCCGUAGCGAUUCUGACGUGCAAAUCGAUCGUCGGAACUGGGUAUAGGGGCGAAAGACUAAUCGAACCAUC
rnacentral:rRNA from 1 species